GAGAGAGAGUGUUAGUAAGAGAGAGACGGAGGUAGAGAGAGAGAGGUAUACACGGCAGCAGCUCUCUCUGGCUGAGACUCUGGGAGCCUGUCAAUCAUCCUCUGACGGCAGUGAGCAUUGUGGGUAAACCUCCUCUUGAGAGUUUCCCUCAGAGCAAACGUCUGAUUUUAUAGCGAUUCUGGCUUGUGUGCUCAGGUUGUCUGCUUAAAUUAUGGAUGGACUAGAUUUGGCUUGGACCGGUACAGCAGUGUUGUAGAUGUAGUAGUUGUAGUAUGUUAAAAAAAAAAUUUUAAAUGAAAAAAACUGCUCUGUUUAGAUUCCUCCAUAUCUGCUUUUGCUAAACAUCAUUAUCAUUGUUUUACUGCUCUAUCAACUCAUUAAAAACAAUCCGUAUACGUCCUC